rnacentral:tRNA from 1 species
AUAUAUGAAAAUCAAAAUCUUAUUGAUAAUAUUCCUCUAAUAAAGCAUAUAAAAAUUGCUUGA